GGCCAUCUUACGUUUUGCAAGCUGUUGUUGAUCACAAAUUAUGCGUUUGGAGCAUCAGCUGUAAAAUGCCCGGUAGUGCUCAUGAUGCCAAUGUUCUACGCCAGUCUGACCUCUUUCAAAGAUCUCACCUGCUGCCAAAGGGUGUGAAGAACAUCGAGGGACAAGAUACUAGACUUUUAAUAGUUGGAGACCCUGCAUACCCUCUCCUCGACUGGCUCUUAAAAGGAUACAUCAAUUCCGCACAUUUGACCCCUGAACAAGAAUCUUUUAAUGCCUACUUGAGCUCAGUACGGGUGGGAGUUGAGAACACAUUCGGGAUUUUGAAGUCACGGUGGAGGGUGCUGCUAAAAAGAAGUGAUUUUCACUUCACAUUUACACCAACUGUGAUAGCCACCUGUUGUGCACUGCAUAACUUUUGCCAGACUGAGAAGGACAAUGCCAACACCAGGUGGC